rnacentral:lncRNA from 1 species
CCUCCUCCUCUCUUCCUCCUCUCCUCCUCCUCCUCCUCCUAGCGCCUCUCCGGGUCUCCCUUCCCGUGCCUCCCCCACCAGGGCUUUAUCUGUCCAUCUCCCCUCCCUCCGAAAGUGAAGGCAAUUCCCCAAGAACAAAAAAAAAAAAAAAAAAAAUUAAAAAAAAAAUCAACAACAAAGACACACACACAAAAAAAAAAAACAACUGGGGGAGGGAGAGGGAGCGGACCGAGCCCCGUCUCUGAAGUUCCUCUGAAAAGGGCUAUUUCAUUUCUGCCCUCUCUCUUUCACAUUCCUGCAAGAUUACCGGCCGCAAAUAGCCUCCUCCCCACCCCCUCCCCUAGAGGAAAAAAAGAAAAAAAAAAAAAAAAAAAAAAAAACAAAAAAAAAACACAACACAGGUUUCUUUUUUUUUUCUUUUUUUUUUUUUUUUUUUCAAUCUCCAACCCCUUCCUUAAUGAAGAAAUGGUCCAGAAUGAAUCUGAAACAAAGGUCCUCAUGCUGGCUCUGUGUUAUAAAGCAGCAGGGAGGAUGCAUUGGCUGUAUUUUGGCUGCUGUGUGAGACAGACGGGUUGGAGUGAGGGAUGGAGCUGCUGGACCUUGGCUUUCCUGGUGCUAGUGUCAGGUGUCCCCAAGCAUGUAGCACCCUCAGGGUGACACCACCUCUUCAUUGCCAGGUUUCAAGAGAGAUGUCCCCCGUGCAGGGCUGUAACAGAAAAACAGCACACCCAGCAUGAACCGAGGAGAUUUACCUCCAUUAUCAGAACGUAAUUCCUUUUGCUCUCUAGGAUUAUAAAGAUCUUCUUCCAGGCAGGGUGUCUGUGCAAGACCACACGAAUUAUGCCUCUGCUUCCCUAAAACAGCGAGAGGUGAAAACUACACCCACCUUUCCUUAUGGAGGUGGUUAUGUGAGCAGGUGAGUUACUGACAAUCCAAAUGCAGUUCUGGUGUGAUCAUCCUUCCUGUAUUUACCUUGGCACGUGGGUUCAGACAAAAUGCCAGAGUGCAAAAGCAAGGCACAGAUAGGGAGCUACUGAACCUUCUGUUUAGUUUAGCGUAACAAUUUGAGAGGAGAAACUGGGAGAUCUCACGCAUGGUCUCUGUUGGCCUGAAUCCACGGCUGCUUGAUUUACUGCAGCUGAGGAUCUGGCUCUGAGCUCCUUUCUUCCUGCAUAGAUGUAGCUGUAGUCAGGCUCGCUGGUAUGUAUCUGUGCAGAUGGGCAUCCAAUGCUAAAAAGCCAACAGACAGCAAACAGGGGAGUAAAGUUUAAAGCAAAAAAAAAAAAAAAAUGUAAGUGUUCAGCUAAUUCAUGCUGUAAGGCCAUGGCACUGCUGAGCUGCAGCUGGUAGCUCAGGAUGGUCUCAUCUCAAUAGCCAUAGGGCUUGAUUUAGGCUCUGCACUGCUUUCCCUGAGCCUUUUUCCCUCCUGUCUCCUUGCAAAUAGCCCCAAAGUCUCUGCUGUCUUGGAUAGAAGUGUCCUGCAGGUGGCUUUCACACACAACCUGCUGGUGAGGCCACAUCCACCUGCUUCAACCUCAGACCAGGUUCCACGCAGUCUCUCCUUUCAGCUAUGCAUGGAGGGGGCAAAUCCUUAUCUAGUGUAGAAAGACACUUUCCUUUUCAGGGGAUGGAGUUUGGAUGAACCAUGAGAUUUACAAAUGUCUACAAGAUUUACAAGUUUUACAAGGAGGGGACAGCUGGCAUGAAGGACAUCAGGCUCUGCCCCUAGAUGGAGAUCUCACAUACCAGCAUGGGAAGGACCUUCAGACAUGGCAUGCACUACUGGGUGUUUCAUGUGCUGGGGGAAGGGAAUGCUAGCUUGUAUGGAUUUUCUGUGAUGUUUCCCAUGUGUAACAGUGCAAACACACUGCUCUGAUGCCCAGAUGAAAAAAAAAGGAAGAGAAAAAUAAAUAAAUAAAUAAAUAAAUAAAUAAAGCUUGU